ACGGGAGGCAGCAGUGAGGAAUAUUGGUCAAUGGGCGCGAGCCUGAACCAGCCAAGUAGCGUGAAGGAUGAAGGUCCUAUGGAUUGUAAACUUCUUUUAUACGGGAAUAAAGUGGUCCACGUGUGGGCUUUUGCAUGUACCGUAUGAAUAAGCAUCGGCUAACUCCGUGCCAGCAGCCGCGGUAAUACGGAGGAUGCGAGCGUUAUCCGGAUUUAUUGGGUUUAAAGGGAGCGCAGACGGGGGAUUAAGUCAGUUGUGAAAGUUUGCGGCUCAACCGUAAAAUUGCAGUUGAUACUGGUUCCCUUGAGUGCAGUUGAGGCAGGCGGAAUUCGUGGUGUAGCGGUGAAAUGCAUAGAUAUCACGAAGAACCCCGAUUGCGAAGGCAGCCUGCUAAGCUGUAACUGACGUUGAGGCUCGAAAGUGUGGGUAUCAAACAGGAUUAGAUACCCUGGUA
rnacentral:rRNA from 1 species